AGGGCGGGGCGGACAAUGGAGAGGUGCGGCUGCAGGAGGACAAUGGCCUGGCUGGGGGUUCGGAACGGGCCCAGCCGGGGAGGGGUUGGCCUCGGGACCCGGAUGGAGGGAGAGUCUUCAGUGAAGGCCUGGACUCUCUCCAGGUGCCCCACCCUGGUGCUCCCCCCACUCUGAAGACCACUGCCCGUGGGUGGGCUUUCGGCCUUGCCUGAUGCCAGCCAAACCUCCUCCCCUCCCUGGGUCCUCUCCUGCCUCCAGCUCCUGGCUCCUAAAGACUCCUUGUACCCCAGAGCUUCCUUUGCUGAGCUGCCUGGGCUGAAGGCCCAGAACUACCGGCCUUCAGAUUUGGGGUGGCACAUGAGUCCUUACCUGCCAGUGAGAUGGGAACGGUUCGCUUGUCUACCUCGCAGGGUGUGCGAUGGGGUGUGACUCGCUUCUCCAGUGCCCUGCUGCUCAGACCUCUAGGUUCCACGGUGAUGCUGAUACGAUUAGUCCUGGGACCACACUCUGAGAACCACUGUUGGAGUACAUCACCCGAGCGAGCCCGAGAAGGGAUAGAAAAGCGUAGUGACCCAAAAUGGACACCAGAGGGCAGAAGCGCACACUCUCCGGGCAAUAGGAACCACUCACUGGCCUGGGGCUGGGCUUACACCUUUGCUGAACAUUUGUUCAGUGCCUGA
rnacentral:lncRNA from 13 species